AGUGAGAUUAGAACGAGGGCUGGGACUGGUGAGUGAGGGGGUGGAUCCCAGCCAGGAGGAGUGAGCUGAGGCUUGUGCCACAGAAGAGGGGGCGGAGAGGACGGGCCUCCUGUCUCCUACCAGAGCGGGGCAGCCUCCUGUCUUCUACCGGAGGAGGCUGCCAGGAGUGAGUUCCUGUCUGUGCUCUCCCUGUUGCUUCUCAGCCAGGUGACUUCACUCAGCCCCACGGAACAAAGGCUUUGUGUGUGUGGCGGUGCUGAAGUCUGGACUCACCGUUUCAACCUGUGGAGGGUGGGGGCGAGGGCGGGGGGCACUUGCAACCCUUUUGUGUCAAGUUUCUGUAACCUACUGCAGUGUAAAGGUGUUCAGAAUGAAUUUCAGCAGAUAAUGAGUUAGCAGGAGGAAUAAACAUUCUCUACCACCACUUGAAUCCUCCCCUUACUCCAACAUGUUGAUCCUGAUCCCAGGAACCAGAAUAAGAGAGUCCCUUCUCCUGAGGCAAAGUGAAUCAUGUUCAGUCCUGAGACAUCACUUAGGAAAGUGGAAAGUGAUUUUUAUGAAGGCAAAACUUGGUGGGGACUGGAGGGGGGACUUGUGCCUGUGAUUGUGUGACCCUGUUCUGUAACUGCGGCCACUUUGAAAAUUGUACUUUGCUGGGGAUCGGCCAGCCGUCACCACCAAAUUUUGAUUGUACCCUUUCUCCCACUCUUUAAUCUGCCCUGUGCUUGGUCUGGGA
ensembl:lncRNA